GACGAACGCUGGCGGCGUGCCUAAUACAUGCAAGUCGAACGAGAGCGACCGGUGCUUGCACUGGUCAAUCUAGUGGCGAACGGGUGAGUAACACGUGGGUAACCUGCCUACCAGAGGGGGAUAACAUCCGGAAACGGAUGCUAAAACCGCAUAGGUCUUCGCGCCGCAUGGCUUGAAGAGGAAAAGAGGCGGAUGCUUCUGCUGAUGGCUGGCACCGCGGUGCAUGAGCUCGUUUGUGAGGUAAUGGCCCACCAAAGCCGGGAUGCAUAGCCGACCCGAGAGGGUGGUUGCCCACAUGGGGAGUGAGACAGAGCAGACACUCUUGCGGGAGGAAGCAGUACGGAAUCUUACGCGAGGGAGGAGAGGGGGACAGUGCAACGCGGCGGGAGGGAAGAAGGAUUUCUGAUCGUAGAGCUAUGAUGUUAGUGGAGAACAAGUGCUAGAGUAACCGUUAGCACCAUGACGGUAUCUAGCCAAAAAGCCACGGCUAACUACGUG
rnacentral:rRNA from 1 species